GAACGGGUGAGUAAUAUAUCGGAACGUACCAUUCAGUGGGGGAUAACGUAGCGAAAGUUACGCUAAUACCGCAUAUUCUGUGAGCAGGAAAGCAGGGGAUCGCAAGACCUUGCGCUGAUUGAGCGGCCGAUAUCAGAUUAGCUUGUUGGUGAGGUAAAAGCUCACCAAGGCGACGAUCUGUAGCGGGUCUGAGAGGAUGAUCCGCCACACUGGAACUGAGACACGGUCCAGACUCCUACGGGAGGCAGCAGUGGGAAUUUUGGACAAUGGGGGCAACCCUGAUCCAGCCAUGCCGCGUGAGUGAAGAAGGCCUUCGGGUUGUAAAGCUCUUUCAGCCGGGAAGAAAACGCAUGGGUUAAUACCCUGUGUGGAUGACGGUACCGGAAUAAGAAGCACCGGCUAACUACGUGCCAGCAGCCGCGGUAAUACGUAGGGUGCGAGCGUUAAUCGGAAUUACUGGGCGUAAAGCGUGCGCAGGCGGUUUUGUAAGACAGGCGUGAAAUCCCCGGGCUUAACCUGGGAACUGCGUUUGUGACUGCAAGGCUAGAGUACGGCAGAGGGGGGUGGAAUUCCACGUGUAGCAGUGAAAUGCGUAGAGAUGUGGAGGAACACCAAUGGCGAAGGCAGCCCCCUGGGUCGAUACUGACGCUCAUGCACGAAAGCGUGGGUAGCAAACAGGAUUAGAUACCCUGGUAGUCCACGCCCUAAACGAUGUCAACUAGGUGUUGGGAGGGUAAAACCUUUUAGUACCGGAGCUAACGCGUGAAGUUGACCGCCUGGGGAGUACGGCCGCAAGGUUAAAACUCAAAGGAAUUGACGGGGACCCGCACAAGCGGUGGAUGAUGUGGAUUAAUUCGAUGCGACGCGAAAAACCUUACCUACCCUUGACAUGCCAAGAACUUUCCAGAGAUGGAUUGGUGCCCGAAAGGGAACUUGGACACAGAUGCUGCAUGGCUGUCGUCAGCUCGUGUCGUGAGAUGUUGGGUUAAGUCCCGCAACGAGCGCAACCCUUGUCGUUAAUUGCCAUCAUUUAGUUGGGCACUUUAACGAGACUGCCGGUGACAAACCGGAGGAAGGUGGGGAUGACGUCAAGUCCUCAUGGCCCUUAUGGGUAGGGCUUCACACGUCAUACAAUGGUCGGUACAAAGGGUCGCCAAGCCGCGAGGUGGAGCCAAUCCCAGAAAGCCGAUCGUAGUCCGGAUCGCAGUCUGCAACUCGACUGCGUGAAGUCGGAAUCGCUAGUAAUCGUGGAUCAGAAUGUCACGGUGAAUACGUUCCCGGGUCUUGUACACACCGCCCGUCACACCAUGGGAGCGGGUUCCGCCAGAAGUAGGUAGCCUAACCGCAAGGAGGGCGCUUACCACGGCGGGGUCCGUGACUGGGGUGAAGUCGUAACAAGGUA
rnacentral:rRNA from 1 species